ACCGCGUUCAGAAUUUCAUUCCGAGAUUUUCCGUGCCGAUCUUUUCGCCGUUGAAAAGCGACCGAUAAGCCCAGCGACGGUUUCCUACUGCCUAACCGACGUUAGUGCAGCCCCGUCUUCCCUAGAGUGGUUUCUUUUCGAGUGAAACGAGAGUGCCAAAACCUUAUCCCUCGGUUAAGCAAACGCUCGGGUUCUUGUGUCGAACGUUCUAUUUCCGAUCGAUGGGAAACUUUUCCACGGUCGAGUGCGGUUUGUUGAAGCUGUUACUGUUACACGUAGAAUAGCCAGACAGGGCAUGUUGAUAGCGAGAAAAAUAAAUGAUUGUCGGAGAUAUCUUCGAUACUCGCGAGCGAAACGCGAAACGUACGUUUUCGCGAUUGUAAAGUGAAUUAAUGGUAACGCGAGGUAACUAAACAAUCUAAGAGGAGCCAGAAGAGUGUUCUACAUUGCCAACGAAGCGACCUACCUCAGCGACCUCAAUCCAAACGGACAAUCGACAGUGAAUAUAAACUGUGACGUUACUUACGAGCCACUAUCGAUAAAGCAGUGAUCAAGAAACCAAUUCUCCAGGAUGCCAUACUAGCCAACGAUGUCCACUCAAAGAAGCAAUGAAAAUCGUCGAUUAUCUCGUUCGUCAUCCGAGCGUGUAAUCUUUUAUACGGACAAUACAUCGUUUGAAACUACCCACAAUCCCACGGACAUCUGUCAGCGAUCGCGCGAUAACGAUAUAUGCCCAUCUGAAAAUCGCUCGUCACGCUACCUUCCCUAUCCAGAUCCAAACGAGUUACAGCUAAACGACGCAUUACCCCGCCAGUUGGCCAACCUCGAUGACGAGCCUCAAUACAAUGUUUUCACUCGUUCGAAAGCCACCGGCCAAAAACAGAACAGAAACAGUUCGGAACUCGAUCAGCGAUCCAGUCGUCGUUCCAGCGUACAAUCCAAUCGCUCGCGAAUAAACAGCUGCAGCAGGCCAACGUCGUUAGGCAAUGGUAGAAGAAAUAGCAUAAACAAGACAACAAAGCCACGAAAAGCGAGCACGGCUCGCAGAAAGGAUUCCGUUCAACCGAUAAAAAUCGUAGCAAAGGAAGCGGAGAAGGUUACGGAAAACGCAGAGGAUUUAGAGGAAGCGAGACGGCAUCGAAAAAUCACUAUGAUCAUCCUGGGAACGUUUCUUUUCCUUCUAGCUGCAUCGAUUCUUGUCGUGGUGGUCACUUUAACACAGAGCAGCACUUUUUCGAAGCCUAGCGUAGGCUUCAAGGAACUUGCCGAGCACCGAAUCCCACUGCGCAAGGAAAACGAAGAGCUGCUGAAUUCUCUCAACAGAGAUUUUACCGUUGAAAACUCAACGGUACCUCCCUAAGGAAGAUGUUUCACAGCAGAAAAAAAAUAGCUUAUUUCGGUGCGCAUUCGAGAGAAGUUUGGC